CCCUUAGAUGUCCUGGGCCGCACGCGCGCUACACUGACAUGUUCAACAAGCCUCCUAGUUCGACAGGAUUUGGGAAAUCUUUGAACGCAUGUCGUGAUAGGGAUAGAUCAUUGCAAUUAUUGAUCUUGAACGAGGAAUUCCUAGUAAACGCGAGUCAUCAGCUCGCAUUGAUUACGUCCCUGCCCGUUGUACACACCGCCCGUCGCACCUACCGAUUGAAUGUUUCGGUGAAGAUUCCGGAUAGGACUUUUUUGAUUUAUUUCAAUUCUGUCUUAAAAGCUAUCUAAACCUCAACAUUUAGAGGAAGGUGAAGUCGUAACA
rnacentral:rRNA from 1 species